rnacentral:rRNA from 1 species
CCGGCGCACGGGUGAGUAACACGUAUCCAACCUGCCGUCUACUCUUGGACAGCCUUCUGAAAGGAAGAUUAAUACAAGAUGGCAUCAUGAGUUCACAUGUUCACAUGAUUAAAGGUACUCCGGUAGACGAUGGGGAUGCGUUCCAUUAGAUAGUAGGCGGGGUAACGGCCCACCUAGUCUUCGAUGGAUAGGGGUUCUGAGAGGAAGGUCCCCCACAUUGGAACUGAGACACGGUCCAA